GUACCCUCAAGCCUUGCUUGGUGUUGGGCGUCUUGUCUUCCUCUGGGAGACUCGCCUCAAAACAAUUGGCAGCCGGCAUAUUGGUAUCGGAGCGCAGCACAAGUCGCGCUUCUUUCCAUGAAUGUCAGCGUCCAUCAAGACCAUUUUUCAC
rnacentral:misc_RNA from 1 species